UACGGAGGGAGCAAGCGUUACUCGGAAUUAUUGGGCGUAAAGGGCGCGUAGGCGAUUUGAAAAGUCUUGUGUGAAAGCCCCGAGCUUAACUCGGGAAGUGCACAAGAAACUGUUGAAUUUGAGUUCCGGAGAGGAAGGCAGAAUUCCCGGUGUAGCGGUGAAAUGCGUAGAUAUCGUAAGGAAGACCAGUGGCGAAGGCGGGUCUCUGGACAGUUCCUGACGCUGAGGCACGAAGGUCAGGGGAGCAAACGGGG
rnacentral:rRNA from 1 species